rnacentral:rRNA from 1 species
GAGUGUAGGGUUCCUAGCGAGCCCAACCUCCCACCCGUGUUUACUGUACCUUAGUUGCUUCGGCGGGCCCGCCAUUCAUGGCCGCCGGGGGCUCUCAGCCCCGGGCCCGCGCCCGCCGGAGACACCACGAACUCUGUCUGAUCUAGUGAAGUCUGAGUUGAUUGUAUCGCAAUCAGUUAAAACUUUCAACAAUGGAUCUCUUGGUUCCGGCAUCGAUGAAGAACGCAGCGAAAUGCGAUAACUAGUGUGAAUUGCAGAAUUCCGUGAAUCAUCGAGUCUUUGAACGCACAUUGCGCCCCCUGGUAUUCCGGGGGGCAUGCCUGUCCGAGCGUCAUUGCUGCCCAUCAAGCACGGCUUGUGUGUUGGGUCGUCGUCCCCUCUCCGGGGGGGACGGGCCCCAAAGGCAGCGGCGGCACCGCGUCCGAUCCUCGAGCGUAUGGGGCUUUGUCACCCGCUCUGUAGGCCCGGCCGGCGCUUGCCGAACGCAAAUC